rnacentral:rRNA from 1 species
AGUGAACGCUGGCGGUAGGCCUAACACAUGCAAGUCGAACGGCAGCACAGUAAGAGCUUGCUCUUACGGGUGGCGAGUGGCGGAUGGGUGAGGAAUACAUCGGAAUCUACUUUUUCGUGGGGGAUAACGUAGGGCCACUUACGCUACUACCGCAUACGACCUACGGGUGAAAGCAGUGGAUCUUCGGACCUUGCGCGAUUGAAUGAGCCGGUGUCGGAUUAGCUAGUUGGCGGGGUAAAGGCCCACCAAGGCGACGAUCCGUAGCUGGUCUGAGAGGAUGAUCAGCCACACUGGAACUGAGACACGGUCCAGACUCCUACGGGAGGCAGCAGUGGGGAAUAUUGGACAAAGGGCGCAAGCCUGAUCCAGCCAUACCGCGUGAGUGAAGAAGGUCUUCGGGUUGUAAAGCCCUGUUGUUGGGAAAGAAAAGCAGCAUAUUAAUACCCCGCUGUUCUGACGGUACCCAAAGAAUAAGCACCGGCUAACUUCGUG